UCGCCUACAUGAAGCUGGAAUUGCUAGUAAUCAUAGGUCAGCAUACUAUGGUGAAUACGUUCCCGGGCCUUGUACACACCGCCCGUCACACCAUGAGAGUUGAGAAUACCCGAAGUCCAUGUUAAAGUGGCCGAAGGUAGGCUUGAUGAUUGGGGUGAAGUCGUAACAAGGUAGC
rnacentral:rRNA from 1 species